rnacentral:rRNA from 1 species
UACAGAGGGUGCAAGCGUUAAUCGGAAUUACUGGGCGUAAAGCGUGCGUAGACGGUUACAUAAGUCGGGUGUGAAAGCCCCGGGCUCAACCUGGGAAUUGCAUUCGAGACUGCGUAGCUAGGGUGCGGAAGAGGGAAGCGGAAUUUCCGGUGUAGCGGUGAAAUGCGUAGAUAUCGGAAGGAACACCAGUGGCGAAAGCGGCUUCCUGGUCCAG